UACAGAGGGUGCAAGCGUUAAUCGGAAUUACUGGGCGUAAAGCGUACGCAGACGGUGAGGAAGGUCGGAUGUGAAAGCCCUGGGCUCAACCCAGGAACUGCAUCCGAAACCCCCUCGCUAGAGUAUGGGAGAGGGAAGCGGAAUUCCUGGUGUAGAGGUGAAAUUCGUAGAUAUCAGGAGGAACAUCUGCGGCGAAGGCGGCUUCCUGGCCCAUUACUGACGUUCAGGUACGAAAGCGUGGGUAGCAAACAGG
rnacentral:rRNA from 1 species